rnacentral:snoRNA from 1 species
AGUCUCAUUCCACAUGAGACGGGCAUGGUUGACCAGUGGCUGAAUUGAGACACAGGUCAUCCAUCACAGUAAAGGCAUUUCAGUGGUGACAGUGAGACCUCUGACAAUU